UGCGCGUGACAUUCUUGAAAGUUUGUAUUAAGGCCAUUUCUCUAUAUGUGGGCUGAUCUGGUGGAAGAGAUGUCGUUUGUGGGCCACGGUGUAGAUAUACAUUGACCUCCUCAUCAUCUGCCAAGGCCCUCAUUGUGUUGGCCGUGAUCCGUUGGUGAGUCUGGUACAGUAGAGUGUUUGGCCUCAUUAGGUGCAAAGCCAAAAUCAGACUCAAAAUUCGACAAAGGUACAGUUGGCCAUUGUCCAUCGAGUCCUC
rnacentral:lncRNA from 1 species